rnacentral:rRNA from 1 species
UACGGAGGGUGCAAGCGUUAUCCGGAUUUACUGGGUUUAAAGGGUGUGUAGGCGGACUUUUAAGUCAGGGGUGAAAUCCCGAGGCUCAACCUCGGAACUGCCUUUGAUACUAUUGGUCUUGAAUGUUGUUGAGGUGGGCGGAACGGGUCAUGUAGCGGUGAAAUGCAUAGAUAUGACCCGGAACACCGAUUGCGAAGGCAGCCCGCUAAGCAACUAUUGACGCUGAGGCACGAAAGCGUGGGGAGCAAACAGG